rnacentral:rRNA from 1 species
AUUGAACGCUGGCGGUAUGCUUAAGACAUGCAAGUCGAACGGUAACAGGUUAAGCUGACGAGUGGCGGACGAGUGAGUAACGCGUGGGAAUCUACCUUGUAGUGGGGGAUAAGCCAGGGAAACUUAGGACUAAUACCGCAUACGCCCUAAGGGGGAAAGGCGCAAGUCGCUAUAAGAUGAGCCCGCGUCUGAUUAGGUAGUUGGUGGGGUAAAGGCCUACCAAGCCGACGAUCAGUAGCUGGUCUGAGAGGAUGAUCAGCCACGUCGGGACUGAGACACGGCCCGGACUCCUACGGGAGGCAGCAGUCGGGAAUAUUGGACAAUGGGGGAAACCCUGAUCCAGCAAUACCGCGUGUGUGAAGAAGGCCUGCGGGUUGUAAAGCACUUUUGUUCGGGAAGAAAACGGAUCGGUUAAUACCCGGUUCGGAUGACGGUACCGAAAGAAUAAAGCACCGGCUAACUUCGUG